CAGCGACGCUAAACUGGAACAUGCGUAUCGCAGUGGUACAGAGGAAGCUAGCAAUGUGGAAGGCUAGGUAUUUGUCUUUUAUGGGCAAAGUCCUGGUCCUAAAGGUGGAUGUGUUGCCGUCUCUUUUGUAUUUGGCGUACAUCUACCCAUUGCCGGCUUGUCUGAGGAGGCCUCUAGUGAGGCUUGUGUUUCAGUUCAUGUGGAGUGGCAGGUGCGAGUGGGUCGCCAGGGCACGCAUGCUCUGUCCCAUCGGGGAGGGAGGUAGGGGGGUACCACAUUUCCCCCUCAAGCUGGACACAAUUUUUGUUUCUUUCUUGUUAACGGAGCUUGCUCAUCCAGUGAUACACCCGUCCGGUUACCUCCUGCAGGUGUUCUUCUCGUAUCAGGCGAGAAGCGUAAUCGUGUGGUCCAACACGGGUCCUCGGGCGGAACAGCUGCCGUGGCACUUUGGUCAUGCGGCCAAGUGGCUGCGUGCGCACCCUGAGGUUGAAGUUGCCCGAGUAGGUUUAGAUCACAGGCACCUGUACGAGGAGGUCAGAGAGGCAGGGAGUCCGGCGCCUGUAGUGGGCAUCUCGGAAGUGGUCUGGGAGGGAGUGCAGGCGCGGGGUCUGGACAACAGGCUCAAGGGCCUGAAUUGUUUGAGCCUCCAUAAGUGCUUGCCGGUACGUUCCAUCAUGUACCGGUAUAGUUUGGUGCAAUCCCCCACCUGUCAGGGAGGAGACUGUGCACCAUGUCUUUUGGGACUGUGCCUUUACCGGAUUAGUAUGGGCUAGGGCACGGGUGUUGUUAGGUUUGGUAAGGGGGGAUUUUGUAUUGACGUGGGCCAGGUUAGAGAGAGGUGUAGGGAGAGCGAGAGGGAUGGAUAGGGACAGGUUUCUGCUCUGGCUUCUCAUGAGUCUCUUUAAACGGGGGCUGUGGGAAGCCAGGCAGAACAUGGUGAAGACAGGGAGAGAUUGGGGGGUGGAAGGGAUAGUGAGGAGGGUGGAAGGAGAUUUGAGGGGG
rnacentral:lncRNA from 1 species